CCUACGGGAGGCAGCAGUGGGGAAUAUUGGGCAAUGGAGGAAACUCUGACCCAGCGACGCCGCGUGCGGGAUGAAGGCCUUCGGGUUGUAAACCGCUUUCAGUAGGGAAGAAGCGAAAGUGACGGUACCUACAAAAGAAGCACCGGCUAACUAUGUGCCAGCAGCCGCGGUAAUACAUAGGGUGCAAGCGUUGUCCGGAAUUAUUGGGCGUAAAGAGCUCGUAGGUCGUUUGUUACGUCGGAUGUGAAAACCUGAGGCUCAACCUCAGGCCUGCAUUCGAUACGGGCAAACUAGAGUUUGGUAGGGGAGACUGGAAUUCCUGGUGUAGCGGUGGAAUGCGCAGAUAUCAGGAGGAACACCAAUGGCGAAGGCAGGUCUCUGGGCCAAUACUGACACUGAGGAGCGAAAGUCUGGGGAGCGAACAGGAUUAGAUACCCUGGUAGUCCAGACCGUAAACGGUGGGCACUAGUUGUGGGAACCUUCCACGGUUUCUGCGACGCAGCUAACGCAUUAAGUGCCCCGCCUGGGGAGUACGAUCGCAAGAUUAAAACUCAAAGGAAUUGACGGCUGGAGUGCGACGAGCACAGGAGGUAG
rnacentral:rRNA from 1 species